rnacentral:rRNA from 1 species
AUUGAACGCUGGCGGCAUGCCUUACACAUGCAAGUCGAACGGCAGCAUGGGUGCUUGCACCUGAUGGCGAGUGGCGAACGGGUGAGUAAUGCAUCGGAACGUACCCGGAAGUGGGGGAUAACGUAGCGAAAGUUACGCUAAUACCGCAUAUUCUGUGAGCAGGAAAGUGGGGGAUCGCAAGACCUCGCGCUUCCGGAGCGGCCGAUGUCGGAUUAGCUAGUUGGCGGGGUAAAGGCCCACCAAGGCAACGAUCCGUAGCGGGUCUGAGAGGAUGAUCCGCCACACUGGGACUGAGACACGGCCCAGACUCCUACGGGAGGCAGCAGUGGGGAAUUUUGGACAAUGGGGGCAACCCUGAUCCAGCCAUGCCGCGUGAGUGAAGAAGGCCUUCGGGUUGUAAAGCUCUUUCGGCCGGGAAGAAAUCGCACAGGUUAAUACCUUGUGUGGAUGACGGUACCGGAAUAAGAAGCACCGGCUAACUACGUGCCAGCAGCCGCAGUAACAC